rnacentral:rRNA from 1 species
GACCAACGCUGGCGGCGCGCUCAACACAUGCAAGUCGAACGGACAGGCCCUGCUUUUGUGGGGUGCUCGAGUGGCGAACGGGUGAGUAACACGCGAGUAACCUGCCCUUGACUUUGGGAUAACUUCAGGAAACUGGGGCUAAUAACGGAUAGGAGCUCCUGCUGCAUGGUGGGGGUUGGAAAGUUUCGGCGGUUGGGGAUGGACUCGCGGCUUAUCAGCUUGUUGGUGGGGUAGUGGCUUACCAAGGCUUUGACGGGUAGCCGGCCUGAGAGGGUGACCGUCCACAUUGGGACUGAGAUACGGCCCAGACUCCUACGGGAGGCAGCAGUGGGGAAUAUUGCACAAUGGGCGGAAGCCUGAUGCAGCAACGCCGCGUGCGGGAUGACGGCCUUCGGGUUGUAGACCGCUUUCGCCUGUGACGAAGCGUGAGUGACGGUAAUGUGUAAAGAAGCACCGGCUAACUACGUG